rnacentral:rRNA from 1 species
UACAGAGGGUGCGAGCGUUGUUCGGAAUUACUGGGCGUAAAGGGCUCGUAGGCGGCCAACUAAGUCGGACGUGAAAUCCCCAGGCUCAACCUGGGAACUGCGUCCGAUACUGGAUGGCUUGAAUUCGGGAGAGGGAUGCAGAAUUCCAGGUGUAGCGGUGAAAUGCGUAGAUAUCGGGAGGAACACCAGUGGCGAAGGCGAUCACCUGGGGUUGUUCUGACGCUGAGGAGCGAAAGCUAGGGGAGCAAACGGG